rnacentral:rRNA from 1 species
UACAGGGGGUGCAAACGUUGCUCGGAAUUAUUGGGCGUAAAGCGCGCGCAGGCGGUCCUUUAAGUCUGAUGUGAAAGCCCACGGCUCAACCGUGGAGGGUCAUUGGAAACUGGGGGACUUGAGUACAGAAGAGAAGAGUGGAAUUCCACGUGUAGCGGUGAAAUGCGUAGAUAUCAAGUGGAACACCAGUGGCGAAGGCGAGUCCCUGGACAACACCUGACACUGAGGCACGAAAGCUAGGGGAGCAAACAGG